AUGCGCUAUUUGAAAGGCACUGCGAGCUAUGGGAUUCACUACACCGGGUAUCCAAGGGUACUGGAGGGUUAUAGUGACUCAAACUGGAUAUCUGAUGCUGAUGAGAUUAAGGCCACAAGUGGUUAUGUUUUCACACUUGAUGGUGGCGCUGUUUCCUGGAAGUCUUGCAAGCAAACCAUCUUAACGAGGUCAACUAUGGAAGCAGAACUCACAGCAUUAGACACUGCCACUGUUGAAGCAGAGUGGCUUCGUGAACUCUUGAUGGACUUACCUAUGGUUGAAAAACCAAUACCCCCUAUCCUGAUGAACUGUGAUAAUCAAACUGUGAUCGUCAAAAUAAACAGUUCAAAGGACAAUAUGAAGUCCUCAAGGCAUGUGAAGAGGAGACUGAAAUAUGUCAGAAAAUUGAGGAACUCCGGAGUUAUUACGUUGGAUUAUAUCCAAACGUCGAAAAAUUUGGCAGAUCCCUUCACAAAGGGUCUAUGA
rnacentral:rRNA from 1 species